GUUUUUAUGAUACAAUCAGCAAAUGCACAUUUUAGUGAAGUGCUAUAAAAUGAAAAUCAGUAUACAUACAUGGCACAAGCACUGAGUGCAUAAGACACAGUUGGAUUUUAUCUUAUGUUCACUUCAUUUCAAGCUUUGCCAUUCACAGUUUUCAUCGUGUUUCCCUCCCCUUCCACUCAUUUCCUUCUCUGUGCUUUUUUUUUAAUGGAUGCUGACAUGUCCUGUCAAAUCUGAGAGGGUGGAGACAGACGGCAGAGGAGGUGAGAUUAGGAGAGAAAAUGGAGCAGCAGGGAUGGAUGGGUGAGGAGGAGAGAGGAGGAAAGGGAGGAGAGAGGGAGGAUGUAAGGACAUCUUUAGGGAGGGGAGGAACGAAAGAGGUGGAGGUGAGAUCGGGAUGGGGUGGAUGAAGGAGACGAAGAGAGAGAAAUAUUUAGGUAAAGAUAAGAAAAAAAACCAUCAUCCCACAACAGGCAACUUAGUUUAGCAUUCAACACGUGUCGCGAGGAAGUGAUGAGGAGAGAGAGAGAGAUGGAGGGAGGGAGGGAGGAAGAGAGAGAGAGUGCGCGAGAGAGAGAGAGGUAGAGAGACGUUGCUAGGUGACGGAGCGUACAUACUGAAUUUUAACAAACUAACGGGGAGAGGAGAGAGUGAGUGAGGGGGACAGAGAGGUAGCCGAGCAGUCAGCAACAUGUAGCCUCGCCGAGUGGAGGAAAGGUCGAAACUGUGUGUGCGAGUGAACCUCUGCUUUUUGUUGUUGUUGUUGUUGGGAGGAGGAGGAGGAGGGGUGUGUGUGUGAUAUGUUUUCGUUUCAUCCCGAGGAGGACAUUACCCCGCAACAUUAGAAUCGAUCAGGCUCUAUGCCGCAGGAAAUGUCCAGCGGAGGGAUGGACGGAUGGAUUGUGGUGCACGGAGAGAAAACGCGGAGAGCAAAAAGAGAAGAAGAAGAAGAAGAAGAGUGUUGGGCUCCUGAAAACAGGCAGCCUGGAUGCUACAGUGACUCGGUAUCGGAAAGCGGCUAGCUGGUUAGCAUGCUAACAUCAGUGCAAGAAGAGAAGCAAAACAAGAGGGUUGCUUUCUGCCGCUGGAGACAUUUCUUGCGUCUCCUCUCAUCAGGUGAAGCACUGUGAGCCGCUGACCCUCCCCCCACCUCUCCUCCCUUCCUCCUCCCCCGCAGACGUCACCCACUGUCCCCAAAUCCCUAAACCCUACCUGGUCUUACCUGUCAACCCCCAUCCGACAGCUGCCACUGGCCCUCCCUUUACCCCAUGGUGGCCCCAAGGCCCGCCCUCUCACUGCUAUUGGCUGUCCUGGCCUGCACGGGGCCCGCACGCCCCUCGCCCCCCCUGCUGCUCCGGCCCCGGGAGAGAGAGAGGGACUCGGGUGGUGUCAACAUCGCCGUGGUCCACUCGGGCUCCUCCCUCCUCCCGGAGACGGCGGUGGUGGGAGGCGCGGGGGUCGGCGAGCCAGGGCCAGGGAUGGGGCCCGGUGUGGG